GGGCGGGGCGUGCAGCUGGAGGCGCAGGAGAGUGAGUCUUGCUUAACGGCUGGGAGCUGAGUGUAUUCAGCUGGCUCCGCUGCUAACUCUGGAACCUUAGGUAAGUGUAUUCAGCUGGCUCUGCUGCUAACUCUGGAACCUUAGGUAAGUGUAUUCAGCUGGCUCCGCUGCUAACUCUGGAACCUUAGGGGUCCCUGGACAUUGACUUUCACCUCCUCCUGGAUCAAGUUGUGAGGAUAAAAGGACUGAGAUUUGUUACCAGGGACAUGGAGAGAACAGAGGCUGCAGGUGCUCCAGGACCCUUGGUGACUGUCCCAGGCUGGCUGCCCUAGGAGAUGCUCUAAGAAGACCAUAGGUGCGUCUCCACGGGCAGCUCUCCUAAGACCUUCGACCCUCCUAAGACCCUCAACCCUCAAGUCCCUGGAGGCAGAAAUGUUCUGGGCCUGCAAAACAGUUAAGGGACAUUAAGUUCACAGAUCCCUAUCCAUAACGGUUGCCAUAGUAAUGGAAAGAAGUUAUCUCCCAGGUGUGGAGAGACAGAAGAGAGCCACUUGGUGAUGCUCUCUUUCCACCGCCCACCCACUCUGGAGCCUCUCCAAAGAGUCCACUGAAGAUGCUUUGUUUUUCAUUUUGGUUGAAGAGGAAAUUCAAGUCUCCUAUUUUGAGGAAAAAGGAGUGGGUCUCCUUAACAUAGAUAUGGUGUUCUAUCUACUCUUCCCCUUCCUGCCGUGGAGGGAUUUGCCACUCACUUUAAACUUGGAGAAUGAGCUGAAGCAGGAGACGAACGAGAGAGCCAGAACCCUGAGAACAUCGAUGGAGAGUGAGGACUGGCCUGAGCCUAGUAUAGGGAGUGACUUCUCCUGCCUCUACUCUAUAAUCCAGCCAGAAGGAGCAUCUUUCAGUUCCUCCAACAAGUCAAGCAUCCUCUCCGUUAUGUCCUCACUUGAGCUGCCCCCUCCCCUUCCUCCUCUCCUACGUCCCUUUCAUCUGGACAUGUCCCUAAUCACAUUUCAUUCUGUGCUCAGACGUUCCCCUCCUUUAGGAGGGCUUUGCUGGUGUCCAUGGCUGGGAUCAGUGUUUAUAGCACAGACUGCUCAAUAUCCACUUUCUCCUUUCUUUCUUUGUAACACAACUUCUAAUUUUUAAGCUGAGCAUAUGGUGCUUGGGAUAAAGACAAAAUUUCCCAGCAUCUUUUGUAGGUAGGUGUGGCCAUUUGGCUAAGCUCUGGCCAAUGAUAUGAAAAUGGAAAGGUUUGCAACUUCUGGGAUGUGAUCUUAUAGGGAGGGGACAUGCCUUUCUUCUUCCUCCAUUUGAAUAUGAUGGCUGGUUCUCUAGCCACCAAGUUGGACCAUAAAGACACAGGCCACAACCCGGGGAUGGUAGAGCCUUGAACCGGAAAGAGAUGAGGUUCGUUUCCUAAUGACUUCAUAGAGUUACUAUACAUUCUGCCCUGCCUACCUCCUGCUUUUGUUUCUGUAAGAGAGAAACAAACUUCCCUCCUGUGUAAGGCACUGUUAUUUUGGAGUCUGGGUCCUAUGCAGUGAAAUCGAAACCCAACUUAUCCAGUGUCCCUCCCCUGUAUUUUUUCCUGUGGAAACAUUUACACUCUACAUUAUCAAUGCAUAGUUACUUAUUUGAGUGAAACAAAAUAUGCCUUGCUAGAGUUUACACUCUUCUUCUUAGGCAGAUGGCUCCAAAGUUGCCCCCACCUAACAUAACCCAUCACUCACAUAUCUGCAAGUGUUCAAGAAGUAACUGGAAAGCCAGGCCCGAUUAUCCAAAGGCAAGGCUGUGGAACCACUUACAUUACUGCUGUCCACUCUCGGGGUUUAUAGCCUGUAGGUGAUGCCAUGGUUAAGACUGUGUCCGUUUCUCCUCUAGGGCACUUUGUCCCUCUUGGACUGAACUGUCAAAGAAUACCACCAAGAAACCCACAGAAAACAAGAAGGCAAAAAAGCACACACAAAGGGGCCGGCCUGGUGGCACAGCGGUUAAGUCCGCACAUUCCGCUUCAGCAGCCAGGGGUUUGCCGGUUCGGAUCCUGGGUGCGGACCUACAUGCCGCUUGUCAAGCCAUGCUGUGGCAGGAGUCCCACAUGUAAAGUAGAGGAAGGUGGGGUGUUAGGUCAGGGCCAGUCUUCCUCAGCAAAAAGAGGAGGAUUGGCAGCAGAUGUUAGCUCAGGGCUAACCUUCCUUGAAAAAAGAAAAGAAAAGAAAAAAGCACAUAAAAAUGUCUUAUAACUGGCAUACAUCUAUCCUAGAAUACAUGUCCUGAUGCUGUGGUAUUUGGCAAAUCAAAAGUAAAUUUUAAAACUCUGAUGGUUUGGCAUUUAGAAUAUUGAAAGCAAUCUGGAAAAUCCCAGUAGCCAGCAUUUGCAUCUCCAUCACUAGCUGCAGAAACAGAUUGUCAGGAUGAAUUUGGGGAGGACCAGACGAGUGAGUGUAUCUGGGUAGAUCAGCUCAUUUGCUGCAGCAUUAGCGGGUUUGCUGACAUGCUCUUUAGCAGACUCCAGCCGUGAGUCUGUGUCGAUUAAUUCACCUUCCUCUCCCCCAGAGCCUUUCAGAGGUCAAAUACUGUGUGAUGGUGUUUUAUGCUCUUACACCAAGGGUUUCUGCUUUAAUUGGCUCACCUGUAAUUGAUAAAAGCUUCCAAGUAUAGGCAAAAGUAAUAACAGCCAAGAGAUAGAUAAAGCACAAAACCUGGACAAUAUCCUAGAAAUCUGAGAUAAAAAUAAUUACAUAUCACCAAUGGAAUAAUAUCCAAAUGUCUGGGCAAAUCUAAUCAUCUUACAGCAUUGAAGUCUCAAUUAUGCUGGAGUUUUGGACUUUCAGUGUCAUAAGCCAGCAGAAGCCACACUAAUAACUCUUAUUGGAGGGCAGAUGUUUAAUAGCUAAAAUGACUAGUUAAUUUACCAUGUAAUAUUCCAUCUCAUUCUUCUCUUCCAGCUCCAAAACCACAGUCACAUGCCACAGCUUGGAACAAGAAAGAAUCUCUUGUCUAGGGCCCCUGCCAAGGGACUCCACAAAAUAGCCUCACUCCCCAGAGUAUGUCCCCAAGGGUUUAUGCAAGUGUAACCUCUACCACAGGGGUCAGGGAGUCCAACACGGCAAUAUCUCUUCAUGUCCAUCAUCAGAGAAGUCACGUAGAAUAAAUGAAAGUCAAAAUAAUACUGAAGGAGCCCAGAUAAAACUUCUCUCCCUUGUGUUACGUGAAACCUUCUUUUCCCCCAGCCACUGAUGGUGCACACAUUACUCUGAUCAUCAACCUUUACCCACCUGGCUCCAGGGGGCACAUUAUGACCAACAUCAGGGUUCUACUUGUAACACAGACUUUGGGCAGGGAAGGGUUGUUCUUAAAGGAGGAUCCCAGCAGGGACUCUUGGCACUCAAGUUCCUUCCACACAUUCAGUUAACAUUGAUCAGAUAUUUUGGAAGUGCUUACUAUGUGCCAGGCACCAUUGUAGGUACUAGAGGUACAAUGUGAUAAAAAAAAAAAAAAAAAAUGGAGUCCCUGCUCUCAGGGAAUUAAAGCCGACUAGUGGCUAACAGUGGCUAAUGCCUAUUGACCAGCUGCUGGAUGUUUUAUAUACAUUACCUCACUUAAUCUUCAGCCCUAUAAAGCAGAAGAUUAUUAUCAUCCCCAUCUUACAGAUGGAGCAGUCAAGGCAGAGAAAAGGCUAAGUGCCAAAGUUUUCAUACAAACAUGUGUUUGAGCUGGGUUUGAUCCCAGGCAGCUCGAGUCUGAAGCCUGCAUUCUUAGCUGUUAUGCUCAGCCCCCUCUCCACUGCCUUCCGAUGUGCUCACUCCGGAAGCAGAGGGAGAGAGGGCCUGGGCAGUGAAGCCACAAGGCACUUCCAGGCAAAGCAGAUCUAUCUUUUGAAGGCAGAGACAAGAAUGAAGUGAGAGAGUUUUUCUAGGAGAAGAAGUCAAGAGGAGGUGUUUGAAAUUUUAUCGCCUUUCUUUGGGGGAAAUUAUGUUGCAUAGGCUGAUAACAAGAAAGUGGUAGGGUGGAAGUUUUGUGCUCGUUCCUCCAUUUGUCUCUCCAACCUUGAAUUUGCAUCUGAGACAGUGAGGCAGGCACAUCCCCCAAAGAGGAUCUGUGGCAUCAGCACCAUUGGACAGAAACCAUAUUUGUCAUGUUGGUGUGAGGCCAGAUUUGCCUGUUUGGCUGGAAGUUUCUCUAAGAUUGUGGCCAGCAAAAACCAAGGACUUCCUGGAGGUAGGAAGGAGAAAGUUUUUGCUGAGGCUGUUUUUCUGGCUAUGUGUCAGAUCAUGGGAGUAAUUUGCAUGAAACUUGUAAGAAGUGUAUUUUCAAGGCCUGGAAACAAAAAAUUUGCCAGAUUUAAGGUAGAGUCUCUUAGUGGUCCUGACAUCUGCCUGCUAAGGCUUUACCGUGCAUCACCUUGCAAGAACCAAUAAACCAGCCCCAAGGCUGUUAGUUUAGAAGCAGCUAGGUCUACAAAUGGGUUCAGCAACCUGCAAUAGGAGGAGUGGGAGUGGGUUGUUAGAACACAGUGGGUGGAGAGGCAAGAUCAAGAGCCGUAUUGGCUAAGAGUAGAGUCAGUGUUCUGGAAUCACCCCGCUAAGAGUGAAUGAAUUUCCUCAUCUUUAAAAUGGGGAUAAUGAGAAUACCAGUUGUGAUAAUAGAAUAAGUUAAUGAAUGUAGUGUAGUCAGCACAUUGGCAGGCCCAUAAUAUAUUCUUGACAAAUGUUAGCUGUCUUCAUCAUCACCACCAUUAUCAUCAUCUUUAUCACCAUCAUCCUGGCUCUUCCACUUACCAGGUAUGUGACCUGUGACAAGAUAUUUCAUAUCUCUAAGUUUCAGAUUCCUCAUCUUUACAUUGAAGAUAAAAAAUAGUUAUCUUCAAGGAUAUCAUGAGGAUGAAGCAAGGUGAUGCGCAUAGGGCAUGUAACACAGUGCUUGGCAAAUAGGAGGUACUCAUUGAGUGGAUGUAAUUACCUAUUGCUUUUAAGAGUAUUCUUUUUUGAUUGGUAGUCAAAACAGGUAUUCUGACUUAGAUGUACGACUAGGAAGGAAGAAGCCAAUUUGCUCAAUGGGAAAAGUCUAUUUUAUUGGAAGAGACACUCUAGGUUUCAGUGGGAGUUUUCCUUUUCAUUUUCUGUAUGCCCCAACUGACAUCUCCCUAAGACCUCAGAUGUCCUUGGGUUUCCAGUCCUACACUUUAAGGAGCUUUUGUUAUUGCAGUAAUCAGAGAAGAUUGAAGAUUUGGGAGCUCAUGGUUGUAGGGUUGCCAGAUUUAGCUAAUAAAAAUAAAGGUAUUCUAUGUAUUUUUUUACCUGGCACUCCUUCUUGGACAUGAACUUAUGUUUU
ensembl:lncRNA